rnacentral:misc_RNA from 1 species
GAUGAAAACGCAGCAAAAUGCGAUAAGUAAUGUGAAUUGCAGAAUUCAGUGAAUCAUCGAAUCUUUGAACGCACAUUGCGCCCGCUGGUAUUCCGGCGGGCAUGCCUGUUCGAGCGUCAUUUCAACCCUCAAGCCCCCGGGUUUGGUGUUGGGGAUCGGCUCUGCCCUUCUGGGCGGUGCCGCCCCCGAAAUACAUUGGCGGUCUCGCUGCAGCCUCCAUUGCGUAGUAGCUAACACCUCGCAACUGGAACGCGGCGCGGCCAUGCCGUAAAACCCCAACUUCUGAAUGUUGACCUCGGAUCAGGUAGGAAUACCCGCUGAACUUAAGCAUAUCAAUAAGCGGAGGA